rnacentral:rRNA from 1 species
GACGAACGCUGGCGGCGUGCUUAACACAUGCAAGUCGAACGGAAAGGCCCUGCUUUUGUGGGGUGCUCGAGUGGCGAACGGGUGAGUAACACGUGAGUAACCUGCCCUUGACUUUGGGAUAACUUCAAGAAACUAGGGCUAAUACAUGAUAGGAGCUCCUGCUUCAUGGUGGGGGUUGGAAAGUUUCGGCGGCUGGGGAUGGACUCGCGGCUUAUCAGCUUGUUGGUGGGGUAGUGGCUUACCAAGGCGUUGACGGGUAGCCGGCCUGAGAGGGUGACCGGCCACAGUGGGACUGAGAUACGGCCAAGACUGCUACGGGCGGCAGAAGUGGGGAAUAGUGCACGAUGGGCGGAAGCAUGAUGCAGCAACGUCGCGUGCGGGAUGACGGCCUUCGGGUUGUAAACCGCUUUCGCCUGUGACGAAGCGUGAGUGACGGUAAUGGGUAAAGAAGCACCGGCUAACUACGUG